AUAAGAAAGUAGGAAAGGGCGCAUGGAGGAUGCCUAGGCUCUCAGAGGCGAAGAAGGACGUGAUAAGCUGCGAAAAGUUGCGGGGAGUUGCAAAUAAAUAAUGAUCCGCAAAUGUCCGAAUGGGGCAACCCAGCUGGUUGAAGACCAGUUAUCCGWAAGGAGGCAAACCCGGGGAACUGAAACAUCUAAGUACCCGGAGGAAGAGAAAACAAAAGUGAUUUCCUAAGUAGCGGCGAGCGAACGGGAAUUAGCCCAAACCGAUAUUGUUCAGGCAAUGUCGGGGUUGUAGGACUACCAUCAUCAAAGAGAAUAGAAGUGGAACCAUUUGGAAAGAUGGAUCRAAGAGGGUGAUAAUCCCGUACACGUAYAAGACUCUGCGAGGGUAGUAUCCUGAGUAGGGCGGGACACGAGAAAUCCUGUCUGAAUCUGCCGGGACCAUCCGGUAAGGCUAAAUACUCCUGAGAGACCGAUAGUGAACCAGUACCGUGAGGGAAAGGUGAAAAGCACCCCGAACAGGGGAGUGAAAUAGUACCUGAAACCGUGCGCCUACAAGCGGUCGGAGCCAAUUMAAUUGGUGACGGCGUGCCUUUUGCAUAAUGAGCCUACGAGUUACUUCUUACUGGCGAGGUUAAGUUGUUCAGCAACGGAGCCGAAGCGAAAGCGAGUCUGAAUAGGGCGAMARAGUCAGUAGGAGUAGACGCGAAACCGAGUGAUCUACCCUUGGUCAGGUUGAAGUUCCGGUAACACGGAAUGGAGGACCGAACCAGUUUACGUUGAAAAGUAUUUGGAUGAACUGAGGGUAGGGGUGAAAGGCCAAUCAAACUCGGAAAUAGCUCGUACUCCCCGAAAUGCAUUUAGGUGCAGCCUUUAAUAAAUUUUACAGAGGUAGAGCUACUGAUAGGACGCGAGGGCUUCACCGCCUAUCAACUCCUGAUAAACUCCGAAUGCUGUAAAAUGAUGUUAAGGAGUGAGGGCAUGGGUGCUAAGGUCCAUGUCCGAGAGGGAAAGAACCCGGACCAUCAGCUAAGGUCCCCAAAUGUAUGCUAAGUUGACCAAACGCGGUCUUGUUGCAGAGACAGCUAGGAUGUUGGCUUGGAAGCAGCCAUUCAUUUAAAGAGUGCGUAACAGCUCACUAGUCGAGCGACGAGGCAUGGAUAAUAAUCGGGCAUAAGCAUACUACCGAAGCUAUGGAUUGUGUKUARACACAAUGGUAGGGGAGCAUUCCAUUAWGGGUUGAAGCYGUACUGCGAGGUAUGGUGGACUAAAUGGAAAAGCAAAUGUAGGCAUAAGUAACGAUAAAGGGGGUGAGAAACCCCCUCGCCGAAAGACUAAGGUUUCCUGAUCAACGCUAAUCGGAUCAGGGUUAGUCGGGACCUAAGGUUAAGCCGAAKGGCGAAAUCGAUGGCAAAACGGUUAAUAUUCCGUUACCUGUGAUAACUGCGAUGUGGUGACGAAAGAGUGAAAGGAMUGCGUACUGACGGAAUAGUACGUUUAAGGGUGUAGGUAUUGAGGAUAGUAGGCAAAUCCGCUAUCUGAGCUGAACCUGAAAGUACCGCGCGGCUACGGCCAAGCGGAUAAUGUCYCUAAUCAGAUUUCCAAGAAAAACCACUAAGCAUCAGGUUAUCAGAGCCCGUACUGUAAACGGACACACGUAGUUGGGUUGAGUAUACUAAGGCGCUCGAGUGAUUCACGGCUAAGGAACUCGGCAAAUUGGUCCUGUAACUUCGGGAUAAAGGACGCCCUCCUCCGGGAGGGCCGCAGAGAAAUGGCCCAGGCGACUGUUUAYCAAAAACACAAGGCUUUGCAAAAUCGCAAGAUGAGGUAUAAGGCCUGACACCUGCCCGGUGCCGGAAGGUUAAGAGGAGGAGUUAUCUUCGGAGAAGCUCUGAAUUGAAGCCCCGGUAAACGGCGGCCGUAACUAUAACGGUCCUAAGGUAGCGAAAUUCCUUGUCGGGUAAGUUCCGACCUGCACGAAUGGUGUAACGAUCUGGGCACUGUCUCAGCCGUGAGCUCGGUGAAAUUGUAGUAUCGGUGAAGAUGCCGAUUACCCGCAACGGGACGGAAAGACCCCGUGAACCUUUACUGCAACUUAGCAUUGAUUUUGGAUAAGUGAUGUGUAGGAUAGGUCGGAGAYWGUGAACCGGUUUCGCCAGGAAUCGGGGAGUCAUCCUUGAAAUACGACCCUUUGCUUAUUUGGAAUCUAACUUGAGARAUCGAGGACACUGCUUGGUGGGUAGUUUGACUGGGGUGGUCGCCUCCAAAAGAGUAACGGAGGCUUCCAAAGGUACGCUCAGGACGUUUGGUAAUCGUCURYAGAGUAUAAUGGUAUAAGCGUGCUUGACUGUGAGACCGACAAGUCGAUCAGGUAGGAAACUAGGGCAUAGUGAUCCGGUGGUUCCGUAUGGAAGGGCCAUCGCUCAAAGGAUAAAAGGUACUCCGGGGAUAACAGGCUGAUCGCUCCCAAGAGCUCAUAUCGACGGAGCGGUUUGGCACCUCGAUGUCGGCUCGUCACAUCCUGGGGCUGGAGAAGGUCCCAAGGGUUGGGCUGUUCGCCCAUUAAAGUGGCACGCGAGCUGGGUUCAGAACGUCGUGAGACAGUUCGGUCCCUAUCUGUUGUGGGCGUAGGAGAUUUGAGAGAGUCUGUCGUUAGUACGAGAGGACCGCGAUGGACAGACCACUGGUGUAUCAGUUGUUCCGCCAGGAGCAUAGCUGAGUAGCUAAGUCUGGAAGAGAUAAGUGCUGAAAGCAUCUAAGCACGAAGCUCGUCUCAAGAUGAGAUCUCCCUUAAGGGACGUUAGAGACUAUGACGUUGAUAGGCUGCAGGUGUAAAGGUGGUAACACCAAAGCCGAGCAGUACUAAUUACCCGAGACUUUCGAUU
rnacentral:rRNA from 1 species